rnacentral:rRNA from 1 species
ACAAUGGAGAGUUUGAUCCUGGCUCAGGAUGAACGCUAGCGGCAGGCCUAACACAUGCAAGUCGAGGGGCAGCACGUUAAAGAGUUUACUC